UCCGUCCAACUCCUUUCCGUCU
rnacentral:miRNA from 2 species